GGAAGCUCACCUCGGUAACGCCGGAGCUCAACUCGACUUUCCGCCGUCCUUCGCUCCAAAAUCUUCGAUAUCCGCUUUGCAGAUCCCCAAAACCCAAGUAAAUAUCACGUCAUAGACAAACCGAGCUCAGCUGGACGACGCCGGAGCUCAGCCCGGUCACAUUCAAUUUCAAUUUCACCAUGGAGAUAUCUUGAACAAACAACUGAUUUUUUUGGUUCCUGACAAGAACAGAGUUUCGUUCUCUACGGUAGGUCAAUCUUCGAACAAGGUACUAAAGCAUGAAGGCUUUGCAAUACUGCUGCCUAUUGCUGUAAUUCAGCUCUGCAAAUCUUUGUGGUUUUGAGCUAAAAAUGGAGAGGGAUUUCUUGGGUUUGAGUUCAAAUAAGAGCUGUGUGAAUGUGAAAGAUGAAGCCAAUGAUGAACUCAAGAAUUCAGUGGGCGGUAAAGGAUCCGAAAGAGUAUACCCAACAACAACUUGACGAGGUGUGCAUUGAAGUAGCCGACUACUUACAGACUCUGCUGUAGAUUCUGACCAGUUUCUUGCUUUUGAGUUAGGGUAUCUUUUGAUUAACAUUUUUGUAGCAAUUAUGAACAAAAAUGAAUACUAAUUGCUAGGCUAGCCUUGUAGUAGGUGAAUUGGUGUUUUAUUCCGCCCAUUUUGUAAACUAUUAAGGAUGAUGAUUUUAGAUGAAAUACCCCAAUAUUCAAAUCA